AGAGUUUGAUCCUGGCUCAGAACGAACGCUGGCGGCGUGCUUAACACAUGCAAGUCGAACGUGAAAGUCCUUCGGGAUGAGUAAAGUGGCGCACGGGUGAGUAAUGCGUAGAUAAUCUGCCUGAUGAUCUGGGAUAACAUCUCGAAAGGGGUGCUAAUACCGGAUAAGCCCACGGGCUCUUCGGAGCUUGCGGGAAAAGGGGGGGACCUUCGGGCCUUCUGUCAUCAGAUGAGUCUACGUACCAUUAGCUAGUUGGUAGGGUAAAGGCCUACCAAGGCGACGAUGGUUAGCUGGUCUGAGAGGAUGAUCAGCCACACUGGAACUGAGACACGGUCCAGACUCCUACGGGAGGCAGCAGUGGGGAAUUUUGCGCAAUGGGGGAAACCCUGACGCAGCAACGCCGCGUGAGUGAUGAAGGCCUUCGGGUCGUAAAGCUCUGUCAGAGGGAAAGAAAUGUGGGGCGCUAAUACCGUUACCACUUGACGGUACCCUCAAAGGAAGCACCGGCUAACUCCGUGCCAGCAGCCGCGGUAAUACGGAGGGUGCGAGCGUUGUUCGGAAUUAUUGGGCGUAAAGCGCGUGUAGGCGGUUUUAUAAGUCUGAUGUGAAAGCCCCCGGGCUCAACCUGGGAAGUGCAUUGGAUACUGUAAGACUUGAGUACCGGAGANGGCAGUGGAAUUCCUA
rnacentral:rRNA from 1 species